AGCGAACGCUGGCGGCAGGCUUAACACAUGCAAGUCGAGCGGGCCUUUCGGGGUCAGCGGCAGACGGGUGAGUAACGCGUGGGAACGUACCUUCUGGUCUGGAAUAACCCUGGGAAACUAGGGCUAAUACCGGAUACGCCCUUUUGGGGAAAGGUUUACUGCCGGAAGAUCGGCCCGCGUCUGAUUAGCUAGUUGGGGGGGUAACGGCCUACCAAGGCGACGAUCAGUAGCUGGUCUGAGAGGAUGAUCAGCCACACUGGGACUGAGACACGACCCAGACUCCUACGGGAGGCAGCAGUGGGGAAUAUUGGACAAUGGGCGCAAGCCUGAUCCAGCCAUGCCGCGUGAGUGAUGAAGGCCUUAGGGUUGUAAAGCUCUUUUAUCCGGGACGAUAAUGACGGUACCGGAGGAAUAAGCCCCGGCUAACUUCGUGCCAGCAGCCGCAGUAA
rnacentral:rRNA from 1 species